CGCAUCUGUGCAUGCAGCAUAUCAAUAAGCGGAGGAAAAGAAACUAACAAGGAUUCCCUUAGUAACGGCGAGUGAAGCGGGAAGAGCUCAAAUUUGAAAUCUUCAAGGUUCUACCUUGACGAAUUGUAGUUUAAAGAGGUGUUUUCUGUUAGAUGAGUAGCAAAAGUUCCUUGGAAUGGGACAUCAUAGAGGGUGAGAAUCCCGUAUUUGGUUAUUCAUCCUAGCUUUGUGAUACACUUUCAAAGAGUCGGAUUGUCUUGGGAAUGCAGUCCAAAAUGGGUGGUAAAUUUCAUCUAAAGCUAAAUAUUGGCGAGAGACCGAUAGCGAACAAGUACCGUGAGGGAAAGAUGAAAAGAACUUUGAAAAGAGAGUUAAACAGUACGUGAAAUUGUCAAAAGGGAAGCGUUUGACACCAGUGUUGUUUUCUCGAAAAUCAAUUAAAAAGAGUUUGAUUUUGUUGUGUAUUGACCUUAACAGCUUGCAUUUCAAUUUUCUUGCUUUUUUUAAUGCACUUUUCGUUUAACAAGUCAACAUCAGUUUCUUUUGUUGUAAAAAGGUCAUUGGAAGGUGGCUUUCUUUUCGGAGAAAGUGUUUAUAGCCUUUGACUCCUGCAAUCGGAGAGACUGAGGUCUGCAGCGUAGAUCCUUCGGGGUUAGAUACAUUUGUGCUAAGUUAUAGCUUUUUAUAGACAACUUGUUGACUAUGAUUAGUCUUGUAGCUUACUCGCUUAUGCUAUUUUACCUACGCUUAGGAUGUUGAAGACUCUACAGAGAUA
rnacentral:rRNA from 1 species